GCCUUUCGGCAACAAGAAGCUUAGUGACUGAACUCAGGAGGACUUUCCCCAAAUAUCUGUUUAUUUCGUUUUUAAGCAGUGCAAUGGAGCAACUGUUAAAGACACAAAAGAAGCAAAGAUGGCGAUCAACAAGGAUUCAUUAUGUUUAUUAUGGUUACAUUUUACCUUAUACAAACACGACAAUAAGUUGAUCUCGUGCAGCUCCUUUUUGCUACACUUUGUUGAAUGACUCAUGAGGGGAAUAUGUAUAAAAGACCACACACUUGCUCGUGUCUGGAGGUUUCUGCUCAGGAUUGGAGACUCUGUCGCCGUGGGCCAGAUAAUUGCGGAAUAAAGCUGUCUGUGGAGGAAACAUCACAGAGCUCUGUCCGCCCAUGGUUUGAAAAUUUCAGACAUGACAGUGGAGUUUAGUUCGUGAUGACCAUGAAGAUGAAUUUGUCUACCCCAGCCAUCAUAUGCCUGUUCCACAGCCAAACUUGAAACUACUUUGACCAGGUUUACUAUUUGCCUUUAUUUUAUACAGUGCAAUCAUAGAGAGGACAGGAAGCAAAGGGGGUGGGGCUGGGAAAGGGCCUCGAGCCAGGACUAAAACUCGGGUAACCUGAAGCGCAGUUGUGCUACUGUCCACACGGACACAAGGUCCGACGAUUAACUGGAAGCACACUUAACUAUUCUGAAACUUUGGGAGUGAUGUCUUAACACUUGGACCAUGUCACCUGCACUUUCCUGCCAUGAUGAAGAAGCAACUGCACUAUUUUUCUCCCUGUGGAUGUGCAGAAUUUAAUACUGUGUGUGUGGAACAGACCUGAGGAGGGUAACGCUCAUGAAACGCUGCCUUCUACUGUAUGCGUUCCUUCUGACGACGAUUUCCAAGGUUUCCUGCCACAUGAUCUGAGCCAGUCUUGAGCACUCACAUACUCUGGGAUGUAUGACAUAUGAUUUUGUAGUGAGUGCCACACAAUCAAAAUGUGGAACUAGUACAGCAAAUGUCAGUGCAGAACUCCAUAAACAGAGAAAGGGCAGUCAAGUUCUCACAUGAAUUUAUGUGAAAACUUUUCUACAUCGUUGCCAAGACUACCACAAAGGUCUUAUUAUUUGUGCACAUCUAAGCAGUGUGUUGUGUACAGGGCUUGACAUUAACACUUCACAAAUGUGGGUAUUUUAAGCCACUCCCACAGCCAUUUUGGAAGGUUAAAUAUAAUUUUUUUAUAAUUGUAGUUUUCUCAAAAGAACUACGGUGGUCGCACAUGUCGGCUGCAUAUGUCACCAAGGUUUUUUAUUUCAGGUUUUAUUUCAGGACAUCAACUAUUACGUUUCAAGUAAGAAUGAAAGUACAAUGAUUACAUCUUAUGAUUUCCCGACAGGAAAGAUUUUGUCCAACCUCUACAAAUACAAUCAUUAACCAUAACGAUGAAAAAUUACGCUCUAACUGAAUACGAUAAUACUCUGCAGUGAUCAAAGGCAAAUUGCUGAACUCUUCUCCCUCUAGUGACUUCAAAUGACUCAAUGUUGAAAAAAAGAAAUGGUAACUUCUAAAAUCCCGAAAGUCACUUCCCUAAAUUUGCGGCCUUAAAUUUUGAUAAGCAUAAAAAAUCCGGCAUAAACUUUUCAUAUGGUACUUUUUAAACAAGGUUAUAUAUUAAUUUUAUAAAAAACAUCUACUUGCAAUAUGGACUUUAAGAGAAAUAAGUGUUAAUUUUAUGUUUUUUUUACCUGAAAUGAGACGACCUCGGUGACAAUAUGUGGUCGAUAAAUGCGGCUCCUGAAGGACAAAGCACCAGCUAUUGGGAAGAAAAAUAGACCCUUUAUAGACUAUGUGUGGAUGUAUGACUAAGUAUUGUGGUAUAUACCAGCAGAUAUAUUUGGGUGGUAAAUCUGCAUUUGAAAGGGUUUUAAAUCUAGCUAAAUCAAGCAAAAUGAUUCUAAAUCAAGUAAUUUUUAGCAGGCCAAAAUUAUCUUUAAUCAUGUAAAGUAUUUUCCCAACAAUAAAAUUGUGGCCAGUGGAAAUAUUGAGUUGCUAGUAACUUUGGGAAACCACGAGCCACUGGCUGGUGAGCAAAAAGGUUAAUGUCAAGCCCUGUCACCCCUACCUAGAGGUGGCAGAUGACAGAAAAACCGGUAUGCCUUUUUUUUGAUGAAAGUUGUGACUGCCCAUGUGACUUGCACUGUAGCAAUGUCGUGUGGUUUGCGUCCCUGAUAUGAAGACAAUGUUAGAUGACAAAACUGUGCUUGCUUUAAAGGAGUAGUUCACUUUCAAAAUAAAUGUUCAUGAUUAUUUACUCACCACCAUGUCAUCCAAGAUGUUUAUAUAUUUGUUUCCUUAGUCGAAAAGAAACCAAGGUUUUUCAAUGAAAACAUUCCAUGAUUUUCUUUACUGUAAUUUUGACCUUCAACCAUUUGGACUCCAUAGAAGUCCACUAUAUGGAUAAAAAAAAUCCUGGAAUGAUUCAAUCAAAAACCUUAAUUUUUGUCUUGGAUGACAUGGGGGUAAAUCAUGAAAAUUUAUUUUGAAAGUGAACUACUCCUUCAAGUUACUGUUAACGGUUAGUUUGACAUUCAUAAUCAUUCUUUUUCAACUUGUUUAUGCACUGUUAAAGUUUACACAUAAAUGCUCUUUGUCUUCCAGAAUAUACAUUUCUACCAAAAAAAGUUACAUACGGCUGUUAGAAUGCCUAAUAGCAGCAGGGUUAAAAAGAGGUAGAGAUGGAUUAAGUCACUGUGAUUCAAAUUUAACUGUGAUUUUUUUUUUUUUUCACUGGAUAGACGACACUCAGGGCAUUACUUUACACUUGAAAUUAUGUUCCUGUACCUGUCACUGGAAAGCAUGGUGCUUGCAACACCAAUGUUGUUGAUUUAAUACCCCGGGAACACACAUACUGUGUAACAUAAAUGUAUUCUAAGGUAUCGUGUUAGGCCAGGGUGUCCACGGGGUAUUAAAAACUAUUAAAAGUUGAUCAAUCAAUUGAGAGAAAAUGAAGGCCCUUUAAAAGAGUAUUAAAUGCCAUUUUCCAAGGUAUUAAUACUUGUAAAAGGGGACAUAUGCUAAAGUAUUCCUUGAAUUUAAUCAUUGGCGAAUAGUGUGAGGUCCAUUUACACCGGGUUGUUUAUGGGGUCAUACCACACGGCUAAAACGAAUAUUAUCGUUGGUUUUAGAUGUAAUGCAAUGUGUAUACACAUUUUUGGGUUCAACAAUGCUGUAUUUGCCACAGACAGUGCACUUUUGUAUCUCUUCUUUGCCCCGCCUCUCUGAAACGUGUAGAAUAUUUACAUGAGGAGUUUCAGGCAGGUCUGGGUGAGCAUUUGCUUUUAGAUAGAAUUAAUCUUUUCUUCCGACACUUGAAUUUUUAAUUGAAGUACAUGUCUAAUACAUGCAUGGGCAAUUUAUAACACACCAAAGACACAGAAAAACAUGUAUCCGUGCCAUAUGACCCCUUUAAAACUUGGUGUUUACAAAAAGUUGGAGGUACAUUUUUUUUGUUCAAGUCUAAUUAAGAAUCUGUUAUAGAAGCUUAUGUAGGUCCUUGUAUGAAUAUUGAAAUGUCUGAAUGUUAUUGCUGUACUACGAUUGCACUUAAGUUUAAUGUAAAUGUGCCUUUUCAUAUGAUGCAUAUGUAUAUGUGAGGUUUUAAAUGUUGUUCGAUGUGUAUAUUAUCAGAAUUUAUUAAAUAUUAGACUUAAUCUACUUAAGUUGUGUUUGGAAACAGGCCAAAACUAACAAAGCAAUAUAAUUGACUAAAACACCCACACAUUUAAGUUUGAUUAAUGUUUAUCAUGCUAUGCAACUAUUGGGUAUGCCAUUUUUUUAUUCUCUUUAAAAGUGUAUUUUUUUUUAGCUAUUUCUCAGCUACAGUUACAUUUCUGAUAUCAUUGAAGCCCGUAGGACGGUUUAUGAUGUCAUUUUUUAUAGACUAGAUAAAAAUACAUUAAUUGUAAAAAGUACAGUAUCUCCUCAAAAUGGUUUGCAGCUGUAACCAUUUGCCAAUACAGUACGUAUGUUUAUUAUUUGUUGCUAUUGUAAUGCAGAUGCUUAAAUGUCUUAUGUUUUCUACAUUAAAGCACAAGAUACAAAUCUG